AUCUGAAUCAAAUGCUGCUGCUGUAGUUGGUGAUAGUUAUUUUGCAUCAGCUGAGCCUUCCCAAGUUGGAAGUGAGAAUGACGGUAUUUUUGCAAUGUUGGCUAACAUCUUAGAGGAAAGCCCAUCCAUUCAAAGUCAAAAUGACAUGAAUGAAGUUCAUGAUAUCAAUCAUGGUGGAAACAAUGCAGUUAAUCCCAAUUCAAAUGGAAUCGAUAUUUAUGAUGGUUUAGGAGAUCUGGGCAACCUGACUAGAAUUGAUGAAGGUGCAUAUAGUACACUUGAUUAUACAGGUCCAGCCAUGGACCAAAUGCUUGGGAGCGAUGAUAUGCAAUAUUUGGAGCUGAUGGAUCUUGAUGCGCCUUUAGAUCGCUCCACUGAACCUGGUGGAUA
rnacentral:misc_RNA from 1 species